rnacentral:rRNA from 1 species
AUUCCAGCUCCAAUAGCGUAUAUUAAAGUUGUUGCAGUUAAAAAGCUCGUAGUUGGAUUUCUGGUAGGAGCGACCGGUCCGCCCUGUUAAGGGUGUGUACUAGCGUUGUCUCUGGCCAUCCUUGGGGGAACUGCGCGGGGAGACUUGCGUUAGGGAACCCAUCGUUUACUGUGAAAAAAUUAGAGUGUUUAAAGCAGGCUUAUGCCGUUGAAUACAUUAGCAUGGAAUAAUAAGAUAGGACCGCGUGGUCGUCUUGUUGGUUUGCACCGCGAGGUAAUGAUUAAUAGGUACAGUUGGGGGUAUUCGUAUUUAAUUGUCAGAGGUGAAAUUCUUGGAUUUAUGAAAGACGGACUUCUGCGAAAGCAUUUACCAAGGAUGUUUUCAUCG